rnacentral:rRNA from 1 species
AUGGACGCCGACGACCCCGCCGCCACGCCCUCCGCACCGCCCACCUCCGAAGCCGACUUCUUCGACGUCUCCGAUGCCCUCCCCACUCCCCCGGGCAAGGCCAAGCCCGAUUCCGGUUCCGAUUCCGAUUCCUCCGAGGCCACCAGCGCGCCCCGUUCUCCCCCUCCCCUCGAGGAGGAGGUGGACCAGAAGGACGCGGAGCCGGCGGCCCCCGAGGCGAAUGUGGACGAGAAGGAUUCGGAGCCGGCAGCCCCCGAGGCGAAUGUGGACGAGAAGGAUUCGGAGCCGCCGGCCCCCGAGGCGGAGGUGGACGAGAAGGGUGCGGAGUCGGCGGCCCCCGAGGCGGAGGUGGACGAGAAGGAUGCGGAGUCGGCGGUCCCCGAGGAGGAAGUGGACGAGAAGGAUGCGGAGUCAGAGGCCGCGGCGCCGGAUUACAGGCCGAUGGCGACGGCGCCGCCGGCCUUCCUCGAGUCCUUCGCCGUGUUCGUCAUCAAAGCCGUGGUGUUCCAGGUCAGCGCGCUCGUCGCCUGCCUCACGUUCCCCUUCCGGCUGCUGCAAUGGUGGUUCCUCUUCGUGACCGACCCGCUCGGCUCGGCGCAGCGGGCGAGGGAUUGGGCUCUCGGGGUGGCGGGGCAGGCCACCGGCGCCGUGGGCGCGUGGCUCGGAGCGGGGGACGGGGUUCCGCGCGUGGUGGCGAGGCUGCUCUGGGGGGCGCUCUGGGCCAUGUACGUCUGCGUGCUUCUGUGCAUGAUGCUCGCUAUGGCGUUCACGGCAGGGGGGGUCUUGGUGGGGAAAGUGGUGGAGGAGCCCGUUCAGGUGACAGAGAACCUGAAUUUCGAUUACACCAAGCCGAGCCCUGUGGCAUUUGUGCCGGUGGGGCGGUUGGUGCCGCCGCAACAGCGGAUGCAGCUCGAGGUGUUGCUGACGCUGCCCGAGUCGGAUUACAACAGGAGGCUUGGGGUUUUCCAGGUGAGGGCAGAGCUUCUAUCUGCAGAUGGGAAAGUGGUCACGGCUUCGAGUCAACCAUGCAUGCUAAAGUUCAAGAGCGUCCACAUGCAUUUCAUAGAAACCUUUUUCCAAAGUGUUUCUCUUUUGUCCGGCUAUUCAUCUGAAUCUCAGGUUAUCAAACUAAAAAUGACGGGCAUUAAGGAGGCUUUCAAGCCAAUAACAGGAGUAAGGAUGGUGCUCGAGCAACGAGCCGAGUUUGCAACUGGUGCAGGCAUCCCAGAGAUCUAUGACGCGUCGAUAAAGCUGGAGGCCGAGCUCCCUCUGCUCAAGAGAGUACUCUGGCAUUGGAGAUGGACCAUGUUUGUGUGGAGCAGCAUGGCGGUCUUUGUUUUCGAACUGUUGCUCGCCGUCGUUUGUUGUAGACCCUGUAUAUUUCCCAGAAGUUGA